rnacentral:rRNA from 1 species
UGGGCCUAGGGACGCAGCAGUGAGGAAUAUUGGUCAAUGGACGCAAGUCUGAACCAGCCAUGCCGCGUGCAGGAAGACGGCUCUAUGAGUUGUAAACUGCUUUUGUACGAGGGUAAAUCCCGAUACGUGUAUCGGGUUGAAAGUAUCGUACGAAUAAGGAUCGGCUAACUCCGUGCCAGCAGCCGCGGUAAUACGGAGGAUUCAAGCGUUAUCCGGAUUUAUUGGGUUUAAAGGGUGCGUAGGCGGUUCGAUAAGUUAGCGGUGAAAUCCCGGGGCUCAACUCCGGCACUGCCUCUGAUACUGUU